GGCGGCUUAGCUCAGUUGGUAGAGCGUCGGAAUCAUAAUCCGCAGGUCUGUGGUUCGAGCCCACAAGCCGCUA
rfam:Fibrobacter sp. TWB8 genome assembly, contig: Ga0136280_118